AUAAAAGACUCGUGACCAGGAUCCAUCUUGGAUUAGAUCUGGGUGUAGCCCUGGCUGGGCUCUUGCACUGCCCAAGGUGGAUCCUUUCAAUAAAUUCCUGUUUUAUUCCUUUUGCUCUGUCUGGUCUCUGUUCCAGCUCAGCAAGAACACCUGAAUAAAGGAUCAUAUCUCACUGCUCCCUCAGAGCCAGGAGGGAUGUCAUUGCCAGAGUUUUCAUACCACUAAACAGGUCUUGGUUACAACAGCUCUGCUAAUUGUGGAUAUCAGUGAGAGAUUAUCUGACUUUCACCACCUCAGGUACUCCACCUACACUUAGUCACAGUCAAAGAUUUGUUUUGAUUUUUUUUUUGUGUGUG
rnacentral:lncRNA from 12 species